UACGUAGGGGGGCAAGCGUUGUCCGGAUUUAUUGGGCGUAAAGAGCGUGUAGGCGGUUAGGUAGGUCCGUUGUGAAAACUCGAGGCUCAACCUCGAGACGCCGAUGGAAACCAUCUAACUAGAGUCCGGAAGAGGAGAGUGGAAUUCCUGGUGUAGCGGUGAAAUGCGCAGAUAUCAGGAAGAACACCCGUGGCUAAGGCGGCUCUCUAGUACGGUACUGACGCUGAGACGCGAAAGCGUGGGGAGCGAACAGG
rnacentral:rRNA from 1 species